rnacentral:rRNA from 1 species
GUCUACAGCCAUGCCACUCUGAACAAGCCCAAUCUCGUCUGACCUCAAAAGCUAAGCAGGGUCAGGCCUGGUUAGUACUUGGAUGGGAGACCACCUAGAAAGACUAGGUGCUAUAGGUG